rnacentral:rRNA from 1 species
UUAAAUCAUUAAAUUUAAAAGAUUUGGCGGUAUUUUAAUAAAUUAGAGGAACCUGUAAUUUAAUUGAUAAUCCACGAUAAGAAAAACUUAAUUAUUUAUGUAUUGCUGUUUUUAGAUUAUUAUUAAUUAAGUUUUUAAUUUUUUAAUUUAGAAUAAUUCAAGUCAAAAUAUAGUAUUAUUAAGUUAUGGGUUACAUUUUAAAUUUGAAAUUGGAUUUAAUAGUAA